rnacentral:lncRNA from 1 species
CGGGCGAGCUGAGGCGAGGCGGGCGCGAGCGAGGCGCGAGGCGCGAGCGAGGCGCGCGCGAGGAGGGCGCGAGGCGCGAGCGAGGCGGGGGCCUCCCCAUCUCCCUGAGGCGCCGCGGCGGUCGCGCUAUGUGCCAUGCAGGUUCCCGGGCGGCCGCCUGUAUUCUCGCACGCAGCUUCCCGGGCCCAGCAGCCGUCUCGGUGUGUGGCGCCGAGGCAGGCACACAAAAGAGCGGUUGCAGCUGCCCCCGUGUCGGUCGCCGCGGCGCGGGGUGGAGACCGGCAUCGCCGCUGUCAACCAGGAACCAUCCAAGAUCAGGAGUAAACCAGCAUUUUGUCAUUCUGCUUUUUCUGAGCAAGCCUAGUUUUCCAGUAUUCAACAACUCCAGCUAGAUGAGAUCCCCAUGGCUCCCUUCUGUUCUACAAGCUGUUAGAAUCUGAUGGGCUAAGAAGACUUGUGCAUCAGAACCCAAGCAGCUAAUGGCAUCUGACUUCCUGGCUUUAAGUAGCACCUUUGAAGCAACAGUGUUAAAGCCUACAUUGUAAGUAUAGAAAGUCUGUUCUGUCAAGGAUUUAACUUGAACUUUGACUGUGGAUUUCUAAGAAAUGUUAUCUCCACCUUCACUGAAAACUUUUAUCAAUCCAGAGUAGGCAGUCUAGGUAGUGCAAGUCACAUUUUUUUUUAAAAAAGAAUAUUUUAAUGGUAGGCUAAUUGCACACUUUGUUUUAUACCUUGAGUGUGUUACACUUAAAGGUAACAUUCUCCUCUAUCCCAAAGGAUGAACAAUCUGUUCACAGUAUUUUGCUUCAGCCUUUAAGUUCUUUCAGCCUUCAUUUUGAACCACUCAUAAAGGUAUUUCAUUAUUUUCCAAACAGCUGAGUGGUCUUUUAUUGUAAUCACUACAAUUUGCAGAGCACUUGACAUCAGGUAAGUUUUCUUUCUCAGACCUCAGGACUUUCUUAAAAUUAGUACUUGGAUCUGACCCUGUCUUCCAGCCAGAGAUGAAUAGAAUCCAUAAUGCUUCAACAGUUGUCUCUGCCACUUCACUCGAAUCCAUCACUUCCCAAAGAGAAGUGGCAUGUUUGGGAAGUUAGCAAAGGUUUCAAAGUGCUUAUUCAGUGAGAGAUGAAUACUUUUUGUUCUUUAUGUUCUGAUGUAGCAUCAGAAAAGAAACAAAGCUUUGAAAUCUUCUGUUCAGGCAAUAAGGAUAUUGAGUGAGAAAAACAAGUAAAACAGCUCAAUUCUCCAAAAUAAUAAAAUUCUUAUCUUUGCUAUUGCAAUUUCAUGGGUAGAAAUCUGGGUAGAGUAGUCACCACUUGGUGAAGCAAGACUUUUUUCAAAUGUCAUGCUUUGCAUUGGUCAGACAACUGUAAAAACACUUCACAUCUCAGAAAACUUUAGUCUGGAUGGACCCAAUUUUUCUAACACAAUACCACAAUAACAUUUUGAAAUAGAUACUUCAGUAGAAUUGAAAAUAGGCUUUCUCUAACCCUUUACCUUACUAAUUACCUCCUUCUGUUAGAGUUAUGAAGUCCUGAUCCUUCAAUAUACAGAGCAGUUACUGCUCUCACAGCAGAUUUAAAUCUCCAGAGGAGGGCAUGAUGAUCAGAGGGCUGAACCACCUCUCCUGCGAAGACAGGCUGAAGGAACUCAGCUUGUUCAGCCUAGAAAAGAGAAGGCUGCAGGGAGACCCCAUUGGAGCCUUCUAGUAUUUAAAGGAAGUUUAUAAACAUGAGGGAAAUUAACUUCUUAUAAGGAUAGAUAGCGAUAGGACAAGGGGGAAUUGUUUUAAAUUAAGGGAGAGGAGAUUUGGAUCAAAUGUUAGGGGGAAGUUUUUUACUGAGAGAGUGGUGAGGUGCUGGGACAGUCUGCCCAGAGAGGUUGCGGAUGCCUCAUCCCUUGAGGUGCUUAAGGCCAGGUUGUGGCCCUGGACAAUCUGAUCUAGUACAUGGCUUAAUGGUUGGCAACCCUGCCUGUGUAGGGGGAUUGGAACUUGAUGAUCCUUGAGGUCCCUUCUAACCCAAGCCAUUCUGUGAUUUGUAUAAGUGCUUUCUAUUUUUCUGGAAACUGAAAGCUCUAUCUGCAGGAUAUAAAUAGUAAGCUGCAGAGAACCAGAGCUCAAAGAAACUAUAGCACACUGGAAGAAGAGUAUGACUCCCACCUUGCUACAACCUCCUUUCAGGGAGUUGUAGAGGGUGACAAGGUCUCCCCUGAGCCUCCUCCAGAAUAAACAAUUGCAGUUCCUUCAGCUGCUCCCCGUAAGACUUGUGCUCCAGACCCGUCACUAACUUCAUUGCCCUUCUCUGGACAUGCUCCAGCUCCAUAGUGUCUUUCUUGUAGUGAGGGGCUGUUUCCUCCUGAAUUGUGAGCAUUUAUUCUGCUCCCCAUCCCUGUCUUUCAACUCAGGGGGCUGAGUACCUAAUGAGUAACUGGCCUGACUAUUAAAGACAGAAGUAAAGAAGGCACUGAGAACCUCAGCCUUUUCCUCAUCGUUAGUGGUAAUAUUCCCUGCCACAGCUGGUAAAGGACAGAGAUUCUCACUGAUCUCCUCUUGCUUAUUUGUAAAUCAUUUUUGUCUUUAACAGUGGUGUCCAAAUUAAGUUCUUGCUGGGCUUUUACUUUUCUAAUUUUCCCUCUGCUUGUGUAUCCUAACAACAUCCUUGUACUCUUCCCAAUUUGCCCAUCCCUUCUUUCAAAGGUGGUACAGUCUUUUUACUGGAGUCUCAGCAAGAGCUCCCUGUUCAGCCAGAUGGGUCUUCUUUCCCAGCAGCUCAUCUUAUGGCACUCAGGGAUAGCCUGUUCUUGUGCCUUUAAGAUUUCCCUCUUGAGGAAUGUCCAGCCUUUCUGGACCCCUUUGCCCUUAAGGACUGACUCUGCAAGGGAUUCUCCCCACCAAUGCCCUAAACAGUUCUCAGUCAUGCCCUCUGGAAGUCCAGUGUAGCAGUUUCUCUGCAUCCAGCAACUUACUAGUGAAGAACAUUUAGCCUACCCUGCUUCUCAACAUUUGCUUUCUUAGUUAAAUUGUUUUACAUUGAGCAUUUUACAUUGAAAAUUCAAAGUAAAUGCUGUUAGGUUUCACAAGUACAGGUUUAAGGUUAAUGUUCAGAUGCUUUACCAAGGGACAUGGUUUAGUGGGGAAUUAUUAGUGUCAGGCAGAUGGUUGAACUGUUUGAUCUUGGAGGUCUUUUCCAACCUUGGUGAUUCUAUGAUUCUAAUCAGAUUAUUUAUGCAGUAAGAUUUAAUAUCUGCCAAUAUGUUGCUUGAUACUACUAGGAACUAGUUCUUUCAUUUGCAGUUUAUAAAUACUCAUCUUCAGACACUGAGGUUUUGAAAUAUCUGAAUAUUUGAAGCAUCCUGCAGUUACUGGUAUCAUGAGAUAGAUCUCAGUUGAACUGUUAGGAUUUAUUCAACAAAAAUGAUAUAUGCUUUAUAUAUAGUAGGUUCAGAGUUGGUUUUUUUUUAAGACAACAGUAACCCAGUGGCUUCUUGAGGAGUGACCUUGUGAGCUAUCCUUUCAUUUUUUCCAUGAUUGAAGAAGAGUGCUGCUUUCUUGUGCUCUCUGCUGAUAAAUUCAGGAUAAGCCUUCCUAAAGGACAUCAGCUGAAGGCAGCUCACUAGCACAUAGCCAAUGCUUCUUCCUUCCAAAAACCUUUUAACUAGUAACAAAGAACUCAAACUUGUGCUCUGUGAGCCUAACAAGACCCCAAGCUUUGGCAGAGGUUGUAAAUACAGAUGCAAUGGGGUUUUCUAUCAAAAGCUCACAGUACCUAAUUGACUGUAAAUGAAUCUGCAGUAGCUUAUGAGGUUUUACACAUAGUGCAAAAAAGCUAUUCAUAUUUCUGUAGGGGGAGCUCCAUGCAAUACAUUGUGAUAUAGAAGUACUUCUAUGGAGUAGUCUAGAUAUAAGCUGUCAGGUGAUGCUGUUUUUUCCCUUCUGGGCAUUAUUCCUCAGUUGCAUAGGUCUGGCAGCCAAUGCUGGUAGCUGUUUUCCCCUGCCACCACUUGUUGCUAGGCUUCUCAUCUGCUCUGCUAUUUCAUAUCAGAUUGUGCUAGAGACCGAGCAGUUAGGUCCACAGCAGCUCUCUGAGACUUGCCAUGCAAUAAAUGAUAACCUCCCUGUACGGUAAAUAAGUAUACAGAUAUUAUACAGUACACAGAGAAGUUGCUGGUAAGAUUACCGUGUUAGAAAAGAUAAUCAGAUAUAAAUGAAAGGUGCUCACCAGUGUUGCAGGCCCACAAAAACUCCACAAGGAGCGAUCUCCAGGAAGAGAUCCUUCCUCAAUGGCAGUCAGCCCUUAAAUGAGGUCUAGGAGAGAUGGAGCCUGGCUCCACCUCUUCCAGUCACACAGGUGAAUUGCCUUCACCCAUGCUCCUGUGGCUGACUUGGUGCUUGCCUUAGGUGGUCAGUCAGAGGUUCAGGUCAUGAUCCAACAGUUCCCAUACACCUCCCAUAAUGCAGGAUGCAACAACAGAAGGUGAAAUCAAAAUAUGAGUCUUGCUUGAAAUGUCUAAAUUGGCUACAUCUUUACACUGUUUUCAAAGUACAUUGCCUAUUCUUUUAUAAUUAAAGCUUGAAAUUAUUUUAUAUAUGCUGCAGUGAUUGAUUGCAAAAUGAAAAAGGAAUUUAAAAUUCUAUGGAGGGAAAGCUUCAUACGAAUUAGUGAUAUUCUUUUAGAAGUUUGAAGUAACUGUUUCUCUCUCAGUGAUUUCCAUCCUAUUCUCGGCAAGCAUUUUCUUGUGCUGUAUUUCUAGUGUUGUGAAUGCCAUUCCGGAUUGCUGAUAGACUCAAGACUCAAACAAUUUGUGGUCAGAUGACCAGGUGCCUUGAUUGGAUAAUUCUGUGCUGGGUUGCAGUAAGCUAGCAAAAUACAGACUAGCACUUUACAAAGAGGCUGCAUUCCCUCUAUAUAUAGUCUAACUAGGAGCUCAUGUUGUAUUCAGUUUUCUAUAGACGUUGAAAAACUGAUAGAGAACAGAAUUUCCCCUUCCAAGAUUUAAUAUGCUUUCAGUGCUACUAAAUCAGAAAUGUGUGUUCGAUUAUACUGUAAUUUUGCAAUGUAAUGCAUCUUAAGUGUGUUUUGCUACUUCCAAGUGCCACAAAAUUGUUAAUAUUUUAUGGAACUUGCUCCGUCCAGUAUUAAAAAAUAAUACUUUCUCUGUCUUGUACAACAUUCAAAAGCUAAAAAAUGCAGAGAAACCAUGAAAAAGACUAUAGGGAAACAGAACAGUUCAAUAUCAUUUCUUCACCUGUGCAAAGGUCAUUUUCAUGCACUAGAAAGCUGAGGGAUGCUGCAAGAUGAAGCCUGUGGCAAAUGUGGAGCUGAGAAACAGGCGAAACCAGAGGCAGAACCUCUGGAUCCAUCUGCUGCUCGUGAGUGUGGAGAGAUGCUUCAGUAUGUGCUGCAGAGCAACUAGGGAAAAAAAAUAAUUUGCCUACUAGAACUUUCCUCAUUGCACAACAUACAUACAGUGACGUCCUUAGAGAACAUAUUUCAACCUUGAAAGUCAAAGUGUUUUUCACAAACCUCUAGGUAAUACUAAUGCUUUGCAAACAAAGGUGCUUAAUUUUGUGCGUUUGAAAGGGGGAUUCAUUCUUUCAUGUGAUAUCUAAAUUUAAGUUCUUAUGUACUUCAGUGUUCUUCAGUGCUGCUUACUAAAACUGCUGAUGCAGGCAUCUUUGGUUUUAAUAUAGAUGCAGCUGAUCCGUACUAGAUUUGCUCAGCUUUGUUUCAUAGCUCUACUAAAGCUUUGAAUCAGAUCCAUUCAUGAGGCAUCUUGUACUACAUACAGAAGUACCCCUAGGGCACUGUAGAAAUUAAUAUUCCAUCUGUGAUUGUAGUUGAUAGUUAAUUUAUCACUUGGCAGUGAGAAAGAAGAGACUAGAUUACUGAUUAAUUAUAAUCAAGCUUCAUAGAAUGCUCACGUGUAGGCAGAAGUGGAAGUGUUAACAUACAGGUGGUAACCUUUUGCAAUCUGCAAUCUAUUUUGGUGGUGUUAAAUCUAGUUGUUUAAGAAAUAAAUAAGAACAGUGGUAAAAAGUACCAGUAAUUUUAGUUUAGCUAAUUAAAAUUUUAUGACUAGCACAGAGGAUUUGAAUUUAUGAUAUCCUCAAGUUUGGCAUGGGGAAAUAAAAGAAGUCUCAAGAGUUGACUUUUGCUGUAACCUGUCACAUCUUAUUACGCUGUUUCCAACCUACUCUGAUUUAAAACAAAACAAUUUUUUGUUCCUUCAUUAGAAAGGCAAGGAAACAGUGAUAUAACUACAACCAGCAUCUUCUGAAAUAAUACCAGGAUUGCUGUCGUUGACUGUUCUAAGAAACUGCAUCCAGUAGUGACCCUAACAUUAAUUAGGUUUUGUCAGCUGGGAAGAACCUUCAGAAAAAUACCACAAGGAGAUGUAUGUGAAUUCCAAUAAUCAUCUGAUACAUAGUUAUCAAAUGAAAUCCAGAGAAACACAAGAAUAUGUCCUCUUACAUACACAGAGCAAAAAAGUGAACAAACAAAUCUCAUCUGCUUAUGUGUAUGUGUGGAAAAGAGGUGCUCUUGGGCCAGCCUCUUCAUCUGGGCUUGAAACAUCUGUGCCUCGGGUAUAACUCCAGUUAUUUAUGGUUGUGCACACAUGCCUGCUCUGCACUAAAACUGUUUGGGGGUUUGGGUUUUGUUUUUCAACCAUAAUAAUUUUAAAAGAAAAAUGUUAGACUUUUCAGGCUAUCUAAUGAAUUCUGAUGUUCAUUUUUCCUAAUGAAUUCUUGUGCAGUGUCACAGGGUCAGAUAUAGCCUGAUGUGAAAUGUGUCAUCCUUAAUUUAUCUCUGUGGCAAAGACAUACAGUUGCAUUAAGGACAUAACUGAUUGGGGUUGGCUGUUAGCUUCAGGAAGAAGCAGGUGCAGGUUCAGUAAUUGGUUCUAAAAACCUCUAUCUGUCAGACGCUGUAGAUCUAAUAGAUAGAGAUCAUGGCAGAAAAAUCUGACAGCUUUUGACUCAGUCCUGUAAUCCAGUUUCACUAUUCUUGGAGUCUUCCACCUGUGGGAAAAAUGCUAUCAAGAAUAGUGACAGUAAAGAGUAUAUCAAAUGAUUUAGGAGUACUAAACUGAAGCGCUCUCGAAGCAGGCAUGCAUGGGAAGGACCCCAGCCCUGCUGCAUGUAGUCUUAGAAGGGAUCCAGUGCUAUUGUAGUUGUUGAUUGGAAGUGCAAAGCACUGUGCAGACUGGGCUUUUCUUUUGUCAUUAUUUCACCAGCUAAGAUGUAAUGAAUUGAUCAGUGGAUUUAGCUCAGCUAAUUGCAGAGCAUUAGUUACUGUUAUUGUGGAAACACCUUUACAUUCAAUUGGAAACAGUCCUUUAAUUCUUUCAGAGAGCAAGAGGAAGGUUGUGGAAUCUCCCAUACGGGUUUGCCUCUAUCCUAAAGAAACAGAUUUUGUUGCUUUGGAAUGGGAACAUUUUUGUUGUCCUUGAUCUUUUAAAGUAGACAAGAGCUACCAUACUUCUUUUCCCACUCUUCCGACUGUUUUGCUUGCUGUAUUUUCUUUUAGAAGACAGUGCUAAUUACGUAUUUCCUCAGUAUAGACUUUGAUCUCAUAGUAAGAGGGGAGUUAGAUGCCUGCAGUGCACGCUGCUGUUACUUCUGGAAUAUAUCUUUUUUCAUGUGGUUUACACAUUGGUGCUCUAUUAUGCUGCUUUUGUGUGACCUAUAAUUUUCUUGCUAGUCACACUUCUGUUCUAAUUCCACAAAAGGAUUCAUUUCUUAGUAGAUCAAUUUGGAAUACAUUUUAGACAUAUACAGCUAUCUGUUUUGCUUGCUCAUAAUAUGAUAGCUUUUUAAAUAUAUACUCUCCCAUGUUGACUCUCUUUAAUCAGUUACUCUAAGGCUGUUCCCAUAACUCCACUGAAACCUUAGUGCUCUCUGCAGUUGUAAAAAAGCACAACAGUGGUCAUGCUAAAAAGUGUCUUUCCAGGAUUAUUCAGCUAACUCCUCUGCAUCAUGUCAGGAUUUCACUGAUAAAUAACUCUGAGGAAAGAUCUUAAAUUCACAUAAGCCGAAAUGAAAGGUGAAAAAGUACAGAAAAAAUCUCGGAACAGGCUUGUCCUGAACAAACAAGAUAUGCUUUUUUUGCAAUAGUAUAGUUGUGGUGCAUCAGGCUGGCCCGGAAUUGGAAACGGCACUCUCAUUUGUCAUGCAGUAUGAUCAAGGCCAAUGCAGAUUUGCAGACCUGCACAACGGUGAUAAGACAUCAAUACUUAUUUUAGUGCCACUUUCAGUAUAAACAGGAACAGUUUGGGGUAUAAUGCAGUGGAUUUUUCUAGUGUUUCAUUUAUUGUCUGUAGCCAAUGAUAUAUAGGCAUUUUCUAUGCAGAGCAGUAGCUGUUGUAUUUCUUCAAAAUAGUUCUCAUAAUUGUGGUUUUGGAUGAAAAGAUUAUCUUUCAAGAUUAGAAAACACUAGGUUUGAGACUUCAGUUCACAGAUAGGUAGUUAAUCCUAAACCUGCUGAGCAAUUCUAGAGCCUUCAGUUUUACUGCUGGUAUAGUAAAGAUGAUGCUAUUCAUGUAGGUAAGAAUUAGCAGGGUUGGGCUUUUUCAUUGCUGAAGCAAUAACAUUUAAUUUUAUAAGAUGCUCUGGACCUUCUAUGCAGACCUAUGAAAUGGUUGUUCCCCAGGCUGCUACUUCACACGUGAUAGUGGUGUUUUGGGCUGCAGUUGGAGCAGAGAAGGCAAAUAAAAAUAAGUGAGAAUAGAUCGCUUGUGUCAUUAUGGUUUAAAGUCGAACUGAUCAAGCAGAAUUAUCUUUGCCUAGCUGCAUGAAAUCUGCAGUGACUACAGUAAUUUGGAUUAGAGGCAAACAGGAACAUUUUUAAGUGGAUUUAGAAAGACAUCUCAUGAUAAUCCUAAUAUGCUACAAAAUAACUGAUGAUGUAUUCAGAGUUACUUAGAACCGAUGGAAGAGAACUACAUGUGUUUCUGUAGUUUAAUAUCUGUCCUUUCACAUAAUGUAUACAGACAUGCAUUUACUUACUAACUCUUGAGUGAUAUAUAGGAAGUUGUUUUUUCUUAGUUUAUUUCUAAAGUCUUUCUGUAUUAUUUCACCUCCGUCCUUUUCACUUCAGUUAAAAUUCAAAUCCAUGCCUCCAGCACUAUUUAUGAAAUAAUUGAUCUCUGGAAAGUAAUAAGCAUGCUAAUUUAUUUAUUUUAAAUUUUCAUUUAAGUUCCAUUAUGUAUUGACUUUAAGUAUCCUUUUAUAUAUAAUUUUGUCUGUAUUCAUUUCUCAGCAAACCUCAUUGUUGUAACACUGAUGAUAAUGGGACAGACUGUACAAACGGCCCUAGGAAAGAGGAAACGUGAGGUCUUUGGUACAGACGUAGUUCUUUGUACUGGACAGCUGUCAUGACCUACAGGGAAGGGGAGUCCAUGAUAGCGUAAAGAAAGAUGCUAUGGGAUUUAGAAAAGUGACAGUAAAGCAGACUGUAAACUGUAGUGUCUCUAGGUAGCUACAUGUGAUCCCUAAAGAAUUUGAAAUAGAAUUCAAGUAACAAUUAUUCUGAUCUGCAAUUAAAGUUUAGUGAUGAUAAAACUAGACAUGUUCAAGUGAGAGACUACGUUACAGCAAAAUACAUGCUCCUUAAAUUCUUGUGCUGCUGGUAUGUUUAAGAGCUCUCCUUGUUAAGAGAAUGUAACGGUUAUUAUAAAAGGUAGACAUAUUUGAUGGUUUCCAGACAUUGUCUAUAUGACUUUUGUAUUGAGAAAAUAGCAGCUUGAUGAUGAAGUGCACUUUUCUACCAGAUGUGUUCUCCUGUAGUGCAGUGACCAGAGAACUUAACAGAUUGAUCAGAAUUUAUUUACUGUUAAAAUGUACAUCAUUUUAAUACUUAGAGUGGACGUAAGUCAAAUUGUAAAGUGCUUUUCCUAACACUAGGUAAAAUACUGGUUAUCAUUACCAGCAUAUCAUUUGAUAGAUGCAGUCAAUGUCAGCAUACUGUAAAUCCAUUUUUGUUUCUUUUGUUCAUACAUGGGCCUUUCUUGGCAAUACAUGUUCUGUAGCAGAGUCCCUGCUGAAAUAUAUCUUAACAGAAAUCAAUGAAUUGAAAAAGAAACUACAAUUGGAACUUAACGAAUGAGCCAUAUACUCAGUGCAAAUUCAAAUUAAAUCCAGUAGUUUCACUAAUAAGUGAGAAAAAAUUAGUCCCAGUCACCCAGGAAUAAAUAUGCCAAUGGUGAAAUAAAGAUAAACUUUUUCCAGGAAUUGUCACGUGUUGCAUCUUUUUUGUAUAGAUCUUGCUUCACUUUUCAGAGCUUGAUGUUUUAUUUGCUGAAGCCUGAAGCCCUUAGAUACUGUACAGUCUAUUGAUUUUGUUCUCCAUGCUGCAGCUAACGAAAUGGAUGAAAACAUAUGGUGAUGAAAAUGCUAGGAGUUCUUCAUCUUCACUGCACUGUACAGACAUUGGCUAAUGGAUAACUAUUAUCCUCAUUUUCACCUAUUAUCUGAAAAAGGUUUUAUUCUUUCUGGGGGGGAUUAAAAACAAGAGUAGCUUAAUUUUGCAGAACUAAAAUUUUGAUGUUCUGUUUUGUUUAGCAUCUGGGACCCCAGAGUGGAGUAUUUAAAUGAAAUAUUGAGUUUAGCAUACAAAUUAAGCCAGCCUGGUAUUCUGAGUUUCUCCGAGUACUUUUUUCAGAAUCAAAAGAAACAAGUAGGUGUUCAGUUGUUGGCACAAGCAGGAGAAAAUCUGUUCAUAUCCCAGGCUUAAGUAAUAGAAUGAAGUCUGUGUUUUUUCAUGCAGGAAUUGAGCAAAGUUGUAACGUUAUAAUUACAGAUCUUGAGAUCUUUCUUCAAGCACAGGAUCUUAAGAAUUUAAGCUGACAAAAAUAUAUCUCACGUGUCUAUGUCAAAUAAAAAUUAAUAAAUUGGCACUCUCAAGUUUUUACAUAAACUUAAUGAAAAAUUAAAUAGGAUUUAUUUUAUAUGUUCAUGUACAAGUAAUAUACUAGCAUGUACUUUUUCAUAAAGCAUCACUAAGGGAGGCUUCAGCCAGCACCAAAUAAACAGUGCUCUGUAAGAAAAAGUAGAAUCAUAGCAUCAUAGGAUCUUUAAGGUUGAAAAGACCAAUAAGAUCAUAUAGUAAUUUAUGUGUAAUUUAUAAUCUAUUUUGAACUUUAGUGGAAACAUUUAAAAUUCGGUGAGUUGACUGAGGGAUAAAGGCUGUCUUCACAUCACAUUCUGUGUUGUGUUUUUUUCCCCCCAAAAUAUGAGUAGAGCAGAGCCUGUUUAUUGUAUAAAAAGGAGUACAUGUUUACAUUUAUCAUGGGCAUUAUUAAAUACUUGCCCUGAAGAUACCAUGACACUUACUUAAGGUACUUAGCACCUUACACGAUCAGUGUCAGCAUCAGACAUAAUACCUUCAGGAGAAGUUUUAUUUUGAUAAUUCUUGUGAGCAGUCCACAUACUGCCCCAGGACAGACAAGAUUCUCAUGAAAACAUUUAAAUAUUUUAAGAUGACUUAAAAUAGAAACAAAGAGAUAUGUUUGCUUGUUCAGGUAGGGUCUGAAAAUGUUCCAGGAAUCCACUCAGGACUCCUGUGAAUAAGCAUAAUAAAAGUAUAAAUUUCUUCCUUGAUCUAUCUUUCACUCAAAUGGAGUAGCUGAUCAGAAAUAAAAUGUCUUUUAUUUUUAUUGUGUAACUCAGGAACGAUUUAUGUCUUCCUGAACCCCCCUCCAUUCCCCAAAUUACUCAUAAUAAUAGACUCAGAAUUUAUUAUUCAUAUUCUACUUGAGUUAUAUAUUUGUUAUAUGAGUUCUAGGUUGCUCAGGACUACUGUAGAAAGCUACAAAUAAACAUGACAUUUUGGACAAGAAAUUCCCACAUACUCUUUACUAUUUAUUUACUAGACUUAAUUUUUUUUUUGGAGUAUUCUUGGAUAAUUAUGUCUCUGUGCAACACCCUGGCAUAGUAACCUCUAUUUGUCCUCUACAGUAGGAGCACUAGUCCUCUGUUCUGGUGAUUCCUUUCUUACUUCAUGCCUUAACAAGAGGGUGAACAGGUCUUUUCUGCCAAGACAGCAGACCUUUCUUAUUCCAAAAAGAUAAAGUUAUUCCCUCUUUGACCUUUAAGAAACAUAAUUGCUAGAGUUUUAUUUGACUGAAAUCUGUGGGGUUGUUCAUCAAAUUAGAUUUGCUAGGAAGCCUGGCAGCAUUUCUGUAAAUGCUGGAGUUGGAAUGCUACUUAUUCAUUCAGCAUGCAUUCUUGGUUCUGUGGUGAGACAUAGAAAAUUGCUGCAGUAUGGUGCAGUGGUACAUCAGCUUGCUGCCACCUUUUGGCACCCAUCCCAAAGGUUGAAUCUUAUUGCAGCCAAGUUUUGCCGUACUUCUAAGCCCUACUGUGUAAAGGGCUUGAGAAAAUUAACUGCUCUCUAAUUGUAGAUCUCAAGGACAUUAUAAUAAAACAAUGUAGUAAUAUAAUAAUGUACAAUGCAGUAUAAAUGGCAGAUUGUAUAAUCUGAAAUAAAAUACAAUAAAAUGUACUGUAAAAGAAACAUUACAAUAAGCAGAGAGAAUUUGUUUAGAAUGCUAUGACACCAAGUUAUUACAGCAAGAUCAAUUAAAUCUGAUUGACCUCAGAGACAUAUUUAAAUGACUUUGGUAGGAAGAAGUACUAUCUUGGGUACAGCAUCUAGGAAAUGUACCAUAUUGGCUGUAACUUCCUUUCAUGGACUUUUAAUGAGUGAACAGAUCAUUUAGUGACUAUGUAAGACUGCAUACCUUUUAAACAGAGUUUUAACUUAAAAGGUAUUUUAGUCUUAGAAACAGCACUAGAAAUUAUUUUGAGACUAAAACAGACUCAUUCCUCUAAAAUUUUACAAGGUUCUAAUUUAUUGUUUCUUUUGUUUAAAAACUCAUGCUUGCAUUACUGCAUCAACUGCUUUAGAAGACGUAAGACCAAAUCCCUUGCAGAGCUGAACAAUUCAAGAGCUGCAAAACUGUUGGAAAAGUUUUCUUGUCCUUGGUAAGUAUUUCCAUCUCAGCCGCAUCGUUUUGGGGCAAGUCACCUCAGACAUAAAUUCAAACACAUUUUCAAAUGCUGAUAUGGUGGCUACAACUAGAUCCUCAGUUGUCUUCAUCAACUAUAUGUUAAAAUGAAUUUAGCAAACCACUGAAUUCCUUCCAACUCUACCUCAGUUGGUGCUGGGAGGAAUCUUUCACUUAUUCACCUAGGCACAGCAGUAGCUCUAAAAGCAUGGAAGUGUGUUCCUGUACCUCUGUGAGCCUACGUACCUUCAGUACCUGUGGAGCUCAGGAGGCACAGAAGUCCCUUGCCAAACUGGGAUUCUGAGAACUUAGGUCACACUGGAGUAGCCCUACACAGUGUUGCUAUUUAACAGUGCACCUGGUAUUACUGACAUGAAUAUUCACAAAAUAUUUAGAAUGCUAAUGAUAUCACUUACUCUAGAUGAAGUGUCUUACUGUCUUCAUAAUCUUAUCCAGCUUCUGCAGAAACAUUGUCUGUGUUUCCCUGAACUGCACUGCUUAAGGUAUUCUUUCAUAGAGGUCAUCUUAAAGAGUCUGGUCUAAAUCCUAAAAAAGAGGAAUAAAGAAAAAAAUCCAAAUUAAGAUGCAACUCUUAUCUGCUUACCAAGGAAAGUAUGCAUGAAAAACUUAGAUAUAUAAUAAUAUUUCAAAUACAGAUACUUAAUUUCAUCUGCCAAGCUGUAUCAGUUUAUUUUUUUGUUUCAUGAUUAUAUUCUGAUUAGUGUGAAAAGGAUAUUCGGUAGUAUAUAAAAUGUACUUGAAGUAUGUAUCCAUUGGAGUGAAUGCAUGGGCUCUUGAUUUAACUGAGAGAGAAAUAUAUGAGAUCAAGCAGAGCUUUACUGUUGAGAUUUUGAAUUGAGUGAAACAGUAACACAGAAGUUCAGUUGUCAUUAAUCUAGUAGGUGAAAAACCUUUGCAGGUCAUUUUGCUCCAACUCUAAAACAGGAAAUUGACCUCUUCUCUCGUCUGAGAAUGGAUGUUGUACUGAGAAAUGGCAUGUGUUAAGUAGAGAUCUCAGUAACUUAAAAUGACUGCAUGCCUGUUCAUUUAAUGACUUAAAGGGGUUUUCUUUCUUUUCAUACUUUUGUGCAUAGUAAAAAUACUAGUACAAACUUUAUGGAAGAAAGAAUGAUACCACAGUAUUUGCAGCAACACAUUGUAGGUGCUAAGCACACUGAGGAAGAUGUAUAUAAAAAUUUAUGGAUGUAGAAAUAUCACCCCAAACUUCUAUUUCUCUCUUAUGUUUAAGCUAUUACACCAAAUUGCAUUGCUCCUAUGACACUGCUGUAGAGUUGCUUUCUAUUUUGAGACUUUUCAUUCUGAUAGUCAAACAUCAGAACCACCACUCUGUUCUCAGCUGUCUUUACCAUUGCCAGCAUGUUUUUCUUCUUGAAAUAGUGCCCUCCCCUAUCAGUCUUUCAUGGUUCUAUCCAUUUCUGUGUCCUGAAAUAUUUUUUCAAGGUAUUCUUCCAAGGAAUCUCCUUUUUCUGUAGAAGCCUAUACAGCUCUGUUCACUGUUCUGUCUUGUUUUCCUUCAUGCCCUUAGUCUCCGCAAAUAUCAAACACAAAUUCAGUUUCCCCCUACAGACAAUACUUUUUUAAUCUAUCAUUCAAGCCUGCAAUUAGCACCUCUCUUUUUAUAUGCUCUCUUAAGUGUAGCAUAUCUUUCAGUAUUGCAUCCGUGUAAGUCAGCUUCUUUUACAUAUUCUAAUUAAGUCACUUAAUUUUUGUGAUGCUUCCUCUGACCUUGGUGAAAGCAAUUUCUUUUAUAUACGAUCAGACUACCACUGCAAAAAUCAUUUUCUCACACCCUGAUGUGACUGCAUCACCUCUUAUCUUGACAGCACUGCUUCCAUUUCCAUUACAAUAAUAAUAAUGAUUUUUUAAAAUGGCUAUUCAAGUGAAAACUUCUGAAGUUUUUAUUUUGUGUUCAUCAGCCAACUGAUGAGACUCUCGAUAUUUGAAAAGUCAUGGCGUUCAGGUGAAGUUCCCAGUGACUGGAAAAAAGGCAGUAUAGCACCAAUUUUUAAGAAGAGUAGGAAGAAUGCCCAGGGAACUUCUGGUCCAUUAGCCUCACCUCAGUGCCAGGGAAGAUCAUGGAGGAGAUCCUCCUUGGAAGCUAUGCAAAGGCACAUGGAAUUGAGGGAGCUGAUAUGGGACAACCAGCAUGGUUUCACCAAGGGCAAGCCCUGCCUGACCAACUUUGUUGCUUUUUAUGAUGGCAUAACUGCAUGAGUGGACAAGGGAACAUACACUGAUGUCAUCUAUCUGGACUUCAGUAAUGCCUUUGAUGCCAUUCAGUGAGAACUGGACAGGCUCAAGCAGUGAGCCCAGGACCUCAAGAGAUGCAAUAAAUCCAAGUGCAAGGUCUUGUGCCUGGGUUGUGGCAACCCCUGCUAUCAGUACAAGCUGGGAGAUGUAAGGAUGGAGCACAGCCCUGCCAGAAGGGACCUGGGGGUAGUGGUGGAUGGCAAGCUGGACAUAAGCCAGCAAUGUGCCCUUGCAGCCCAGAAAGCCAACUGUAUCCUGAACUGCAUCAAAAGAAGUGUGGCCAGCAGGGCAAGGGAGGUGAUCCUGCCCCUCUGCUAUGCACUGUGAGACCUCAUCUGGAGUAAUGCAUCCAGAUGGGGAGUCCUCAGUACAGGAGAGGAAUGGAUCUGCUGGAGUGUGUCCAGUGGAGUGACACAAAAAUGAUACUACGGAUGGAAAACCUACCCUGCAGGGUCAGGCUGAGAGUGCCUGGAGAAGAGAAGGCUCUAGGGGACCUGAGAGCAGCCUUUUCUGUAUCUAAAGGGGGGCUAUAAGAAGGAAGGGGACAGAUUCUUUAGCAGGGUCUGUUGCAAUAGGACAAGGGGAAACAAUUUUAAACUAAAAGAGGGGAGAUUUAGAUUGGACAUAAGGAAGAACUUUUUACAAUAAGAGUGGCGAGGCACUGGAACAGGUUGCCCAGAGAGGUGGUAGAGGCCCAGUUCUUGGAGGCAUUCAAAAUCAGGCUGGACCAGGCUCUGAGCAACCUGAUCCAACUGCAGGUGUUCCUGUCCACGGUGGGGGAGUUGGACUAUAUGACCUUUAAAGGUCCCUUCCAACAAAAAAGAUUCUAUGACCUAUGAUGGGACUUCAUCAUCCUUUUUUUUUUUUUUUUUUUUUAAUAACCAUUUUGUGCCUAAUCCCUUGCAUCUAGGAGAGAGUACUAUGAAACACCAGAAAUGAUUUAUCUAUGUCCUGCAAAUUAAUUUUGAAAAUUUUACUAAAGCCACCUGCAAAACAAAGAAACAAACAAACAAAAAGCAACAGAAGUGCUAGUUCUUACUGUGACUGACCUAGUCCUUGCGUUCACUUUUAUAGGAGUCUGCUGGCUUUUACUCUGUGAUUAAAUAAUGAACUUCUUAGGACGUAGAAAAUCUUUCUAUUCUGUAUUUGACCAUCCACUUAGCUAUUAUGCCUAAAUACUUUGUAAUACGAAUAGUAAAACAUAAUAGACUUUAUUUCCUCUGGCUCAGUGAACCGCCAACACAAGUAAGAGAAAUGUGUAGAUUUCUCAUCCUUCUCAGGUGGGAAAGUAGAAAUAAAUAUGAGAUAGCUAUUUACCAGCUCAUUUUUCUGAUUUUUUAUUACACUAAUAAUUUCCUUUGUCCAGUAGGAUAAAAUGUAAUUAAAACUUAACCUGCAUAAUCUCCAGGAAGUAUUAGUAAAAAUGCUUAUGGACUAUAAGGUAUGAUCACAGUUUCUCAAGAAGAAUGCACAAAUUAAGUUUUUUAGACAGUAUCAUGGAUAAGAUAUAAAAAUAAAUCAAUAUCCAGAAUGUAAUGUUCGGAUCCCAUUGGGUGUUUUCAGCUUCUGUAUGCAUGUCAUGUCCAUUGCCUUAACCUACUUAAAAUGACUGUGGAGGUCUGGCUGUAUGAUCUCUAGAGAGACAGAGGAGAACUUCAGUCCUCAGAAGUUAGUAAGGACUUUUAUUAGAAAUCUGGAAAUGAAGUGAGUACAGAGAGUGCCUGUGUUUCCUGGUGUGAGACACCUUGCUUAGUCCAAGUUUAAAAUUGUUCUGAAGAAUAGCUGAGGUAAAUGUGAAAUUGUUUCACACUCAUAUAACUGGUGUUAGUAAAGUUCUUCCUUCUCAUUUUUUCCCCCAUUUAGAGUUCAAAUUUUCCCCCACGUUACUCCAGAAGUAUUCAUUAUGUUUUCAAAUUGUGACAUCCACCUUGCAUAGAGGCCUAGGUGAUUUCCUGCCAUUAUUCUGAAAAGGUAGAUUUUGGCUUACACGAUUUCAAUAUGUGGGGUAUUCACCAGUGAUACAGCUCUAUCAAAAGUGAGCAAUUUAACACCAAAAAAUUUUAUAUUAUCUCUUCUUGAACAGAUGGUACCCUUCCUUAUUCUGUAAGCAUAAAUUACUGCUAAGCUUAGAAUAAUUUAUUCACUCCUUAGAAGUGUAGCCAGUAGCUUGCUAUCUAGCAGCAUGAGUGUUCACAUCCAUCAGCUCAAUUAGUGAUCCAAAAGCAAAACGCAUCUCUUGGGAUGUCAUAAUGAUUUUGAGACACACCUGGGAGGACUUCAGGCCUCUGCACAAAUAGGUGAAUAUGGAUUUCUUUCAUUCAUGAAAUAAUACUGUAGAGAAUCAUGUUAGGCUAAGAACUCCAGGCAUGAUUCAGUACGUAUUACCAAUGUAACAUAAAACAAAGCUAUGCUUGUGGAAAAAACAGUGCGAUGGAAAUUGCUUUAAGGACACUUCCUGUAUUUACUGUCACUUGAAAUAACAUACUGCUGGUUUUCUAAAGAAUGUUAAAGUUCCUGUAAAGCUAAGGAGACAUUUGAGGGAAGUUACUGUGCACUUUAAUUAUUCCUGUUCUUGAGGACAUUUUGUGCUCAGCUGUUUGGAUGAGUUUCAGCUGAGGUCUGAAAAACACAACCAAAGAAUGAGAAAACAGAGUUGAAGAAUAACCUCAGGAUAGUACUAAAACUUUAAAAAUCUUGCAGGUAAAGGAUUUGAUAAGCAUACGGAAUUAGUGGCUGUAUGCAUCUGGGCAGACACUACAAAUCUUGCAUAGAAUGCCCAAGAUGAGUAUGGGUAUGGUCUCAUGACAAAGCAUAAAUCCAGAUGAUGUUGUUGGAGCCCGACUGUGAUUCAGGAAUAAGGGCACAGAGCAUUCUAGCUGGUCUCUAAGAAUCACUGUAAUUUCUGUUUGGUGGCAUUUUUGUUUUACAGUUCUCUAUCACUUUAAUUAUGCCUGCAGGUCUUCUGCAACAGUCUGUAUGCUGCAACAGUCACUGAUACUGUACGUUUGUGGCUAGAGUUGUAACAGCUUGGGCCCCCCAGCCCCAGACACAGCACUGCUAUCCAAGAGUGAGAUUAGUCAACAAUUUGACGAUUGCUUAUUUUUAGUCUUAGAAAUGCACAAUGUGUGGUAGCUUUACCCCACUGAACAGCUCAUGGGUAGAUUUCCUAAAGAUACUACAGUACAUAAAUGAAAAUUUCGGACAGUUUACAGUGAUUUUUCCUCUGGGAGUUGAAUUUGUGAGCUUUACAAGUGUAAGCCUGAGGACAAAAAUAGAAUAAUACUUUGGCAUAGUCUUAGAUCACCUGACACUGCAAAAUUCAUCUUCUAGGCCUCCUAUCAUUACUUUCAACAGCAUGUUCCUUAAUGGUGACAUUCUUGUCUAUGCUGCAUGGGUGGGUUUUCUCAUCAGUAGCUGUCACUAUCCUUUGUCUAGCUGCUGAUCCUUUUUCAUUUUCCACUUGCUUUGCCAGUUUCUCCUCCCUUUCUCAUUUUCCAUUUUUCUCUCAUUUAUCAAAGUGCCACAUUUUGCAGACAUCCCUGGCCACUUAUCUAUUCAUAACUGCAAGUCCUCUAAAAGAAAUUUCAGUUUAGAUGCUUUCUUAUGAGCCUUCAGAUGUUGCCAUUCUUUCAUGCAUUUGUAGAGGCAUGCAGUUCAGAAAGUGUCAUGUUUUCUGAAGUGAGCUUAGCAGAUUAAAGUGUAGUGUAUUUUAUUAUUUAUUAUUUAACUUAACCUGCUUCAAAUUACCUGCUUAUUUUUCAUCUAUGAUUUGUACCCAUAAAACUGUAUUGAGCAUAGCUAUAACUAUUUUGAAGGAUUUGAGUCCUGUUUAGACAGAGACACCCGAAUUCAUUCACUUGAUUCAUUGACUGCCUGCAGUACCUCUCCUAAAAUACACGUCCUGUUGCUUUCAUCUAAAACAUAAUUACUAUGUAAUGGAAGUAGUUAGAGGUAGUCUUUUCUUAAUAGGUAGAUGGAGCAGAGGAGGGAUAUUCUCCUUAAUAGUUGCUGCUUUAGGAAAUAUGCUGAGAUAAAAAUAUGCUUGCUCCAGUCUGCUUGCUUUGUCAACUGGUGUCUUGCAGAGAAGGACUUGGGGGUCCUGAUGAACAAAAAGCUGGCCAUGAGCCAACAUUGUGUGUUUGCAGCCUGGAGGGCCAAGAGUAUCGUGGGCUGCAUCUAAAGAUAGGUGGCCAGCAGGGCAAGGGAGGUGAUUGUCCCCCUCUACUUUGCCCUUCUGAGGCCCCAUUUGGCGUACUGCAUCCAGGCCCAAGGGCCCCAGAACAAGAAGGAUGAGGAGCUGCUGCAGCGGGGCCAGAGGAGAGACAAAGAUUAUCAGAGGACUGGACUUGCUGAUGAAUGUAAUGGAAGUCUGGGAUAGAGAAAAACUUUUGUUUGUCACCUAAGAUAGAAUUGUUAUUCAGUAAACCGUUUUAACUCCUCUUCUUGAACUCUUAUCAAUACUUUGCUCUUAUUUUCCUAUCUGGGUCUCCCAGAAUUGGCAGUAGGUUAAAUAUGAAUUUGCAACCGCCUAGGAAAAGUCAUGCUAUUUACCUGUUGCCCCCCUGCUGAAGAACUGAAUUUGUACAGAAAUUUUAAUUAAUUAUGAGAUUUGAAAAGUAUUUUCAAAGAUGCCAGUUUCUCUAGUUAUUUUUUUCCAGAUGAGGAAAAUUUCCCGAGAGUUCAUUCUUUUUUGAUAGCACUGCUUCCUCUUGUAUGGUACAGAAUAUAGCACCGAAAAAGAUUGUAGCUCCUAGCACUGAAACAGCUGCUUCUGAGGACAUUAUUCCAAUCUCAGUUACUAAUUCCCACACUUCAAUUGGUGCAGUAUCUGUUGAAAUUUAACACUUGAUUUUUUUUCCCUGUUCUUUUUAUUCAGAAGGGUUUUUUUAAACUCCUUUUGAAUAUAUACCCAGCUAUACCAUUUCAUUUUUGAGUAUGUAAAAAUGUAAUGUAGGAACUUAUGGUCUAUAUUUAAUUAUAUAAUAUUUAAUGUAGGUUGUUAAUGUGAUGUGUAUGGAUUUUCUCUAGUUGGCUCUCCUGGGAAAGAUUAUUUUAGAAUGCAGUUGCCACUGAUGGCUACUAUUAAUGCAAGCAGUGAACUAAUUUGCAUUUCACACAGCAGAACCCUUUAUCAGACACAGCACAGGCAUGGAAAGAGAUAAGAGCAGCAGCAGGUCUCCAGGCAGUGGGAAAAGGGUACAGAUGGCAAAGGCUGAAGGAAGGUUUUCAGAGGCACAAAUGACAGUUGACACCUGACUUCAUUCAGGUAUUUGAAGCAUACCACAUCUUCUCUAAAUCUCAGACAUGCUUCCUGUCUAUAUUACACAUAACAAGAAUAACCAAACCAAAACAAAAACACACAAAAGCAAACAAGGAAAAAAAUCAGAUUUUUUUCAAUGAUGUGAUUUGGUUGGAGUCUGCUCAAAGAACAGUGUUAAUGAAGAUCCUUUGGUGAGUUUUGUGACUUUCACAUUUUUAUCCUAAUCUGACUGUCCAUAUUUCUUACAAUUCUCUCCUGGAAAUCAAGAAUAACUCAAACAUAGUGACAAUAGCUCUUUCUUCUAGCGACAUCUUCUUCCCCCAUACAGUUCACGCGCAGCAGAAAGGGAGACACUGCAGCUUAUCUGUCUGUGAUUCCCAGUGCUUUGGGAACGCUGAGUUUGGCACUGAAGCUGCUUUGCCAGUAGCCCUGAACAACACUACCAACUGGCUCAGCUUUCAAAGCUGUUUUCAGUCUCUACUGAUUUAUUUGCAGAAUAAUUCAACGCACAUCCUAUAAGUGCUCUGAAUAAACUGUCUCUGGAUAUAGACAGAGUCAAUUGCAACCUCAUGUUCUAAAAUUAUUAUUUCAGAAUAUAAAAUGCUACAAUACUCUAAAUAAUACAUAUGUAUUCUAGUGCUUUAAAUAAAUGUCUGUUUUAUGUCUUGCAAAUACUUGUGUUUGACUGAAGUCAGACUAAAUUUUUUCUCCAAUAUGUCGUGUUUUAAGAAAAGUGUACAACAAAACAGGAGUUUAUCUUAGUUUUUAGAUUAUGGAUGUUUUUCUUUCAUGCUCUGGAAUUAAGAGUUUUAAUACAGUUGUUACGGGCAGCUGAGGACAACUGAAGUCUCUGCUGUUACUGGGCAGCAGGAAUUUAUUACUUCCUCAAUAAUAGGAAGCAGUUGCAGCUAUUAGCUUAAUAUAGAGAGUAUGUUGAUAUGAAAAGUCCACUGCAGACGGGAGAAGAAUGGCAAAGGCCUAGGAGCAAGGAAGCUCUGAAUGCAUCCUCAUUAUCUUGGUAAGCAGUUUUUCACAAACUCAUCAGAGCAACAUAUCUUCCUACAGUGUCAGUAUCUUUCUACUAUAACAGUAAAGAUAGAGUUGGAAGACUUUGAGCCAUCAAAUCCCCCAAACAAGCAGAGUUUUAAUUACAUUCCUAUUGGUGCACAACACUCGAAUAGUUGUGUGCUAUUUCAUCAUCUCUGCUUUGGCUCCAUUGCAGUUUUUACCUUUCAGUCUCAAAUGGCAGCAAUUAUAUUUCUGCAUAAACCAAGCAGUAAAGUUUCCUCUAAGAUAACAAUUAGUGUUACAUCUGUUGGUAGUUAUCCAGAAGAGAAAUGCAGGUAAUACCAUGCCUCUCUUCAGAAGAGCAAGACUGCUCUGAAUGUAUCCUAAGGCAAAUCCUAAACCUCAGUGCUCAGCAUGAGGCAAUGAGGUACUCCCAGCUAUUGAGCCUUCUCACUAGCUGUGACUGUGCUUGUGGGGGCACAGUAAAAAUAAGAUGCCUGCCUUGUCUUCUGUUCUGUGACAGAAAGCUGCAGCCAACAGUAAGCACAGUUGUUCCUUCAAACAGUUAAUGCAUGUGUGAAUCAUGAAAUGUACAUGCUGUACUUGAGAGAUGCAAUUUAACAUUACAUAUAACAGAUUUUUGCUUUUGCUGAUCAUUUAAGAAGGAAACAAAGAAACAUGCACUGUUUCUGAGGCUUUGACACACUAAAAGUGAAAGAGUAAGGGGAAUACAGCUAGACUUUCUUUUAUGAAGAUUGCUGGGGAGUGAGGAGACAAUUAAAUCAGACUUCUCCCUUUUGAAAACAUCAUUAGUCUUGGACAGAAUUCCCCAUUGCUACCCUUCACGUUCCUUUCUUUCUGCUGCAGUUGCAAUACAAAAUAUCCUCCAGCACAUGCACAGGAUCUACAUCAAGGAGAACAGAAAAUUCAAGCAGAAAUAGCCAACCCAAUCAAAGUUUUAUAGACUAAAGAAACACUGGCAGCAUAAUUUAUUUUAAUGGAUGUAUUAAGCUUUCACCAUCUGUUCUGCCCCUAAUUAUAAAUGCCAAAAGAACAUAUUUCACAGUUACAUCAGUAAGAAGAUAUUAUUCAUGCACUUAUAUGUUACUUCUACACUAACGCUUCUACAGUGUUCUCAUACUGCCUACGCAAUUCAGAGCAAGCUGCUGGCAUCUGAAAUUGAACUUCUUGGUAUAAGGCAUUUUUCAGUAACAAUGUUUCAGUGGGAGGGGAUUUAAUGUAAGAUGUAUUUUUAAAGAAAAAUAAGUGGGAGAAUGCAAACCUUUUGUUUAGUCUCUGGGAGGCAUAUUUUUAUUCCUUAUCAAUCCCAAACACAAAUGUAUACUUAUAUAAGUUUUUCUCAUGUUUCAUAUGGUUGUCAGAAUUAAAACUGAGCAAAAUUACUGAGGUGCUCAAUAUUUUAAAAGAAAUAUUUUAGGAAUUGAUUACUCAUUUUGGUCACAGAGUGAACAAAAUCUAUGAAUAAUUUCAUAGCUUCUUAAAGAAAAUGUAUUUUCUGUUAGAGCACAGAAGUGUCUACUAGAUAUUUUUGCUUCUGUUCUCUAAUCCUGUAGCAAAUGUGUUGUGUACUUAUUUAACAUUUCAUUACUUCUGAGGAAAUACAGAGAUAAAUACAAGUAAAAAUUACUUUUAAAUCAUUUUGGGUGAAAUAUUCAGAUACUUUGCUAAAUAAAACUGACCAUAUAUGGGCCUCUAACUUGCAGUGGAAAAAUCAAAUUGGUGAUGGAUUAAUCUCUAGACCUUAAGCUGUUUCUUCUUAUGCAGACUUUGGAGAAGUACCUCUUUGCUUUCUUGCAUUUCGUUCCACAUGUCUGCUCAGAUGGUGUGUAUCCAAGUGAGGCAUAUAUACAGUUGCUUUAAGCUGCUUUAAGCAGUGUUAUAAUACAACCUUUCUUGCACCCUUCAGGGCAGAAGUAGGUAGACAAGUUAUCUCCACUGGGGAAAGUGAAGGGGGGCAUUUAUUCAACAAUGAAAAUAGAGUAAUUUAUAAUGCCUACAUGAUCAAGUCAAAGACCAUGUGAAAACAACAACAGAAGUCCUGGAAGUAAGGCUUAUUAGUGAUUAUGUGAAGGAAACAAACAAUUUAGAAAACCAUUGAUGCUAGCCUAGCAUUUCAUCCCAUAGAUUCACUGAAUGGAUCAUAUAAGAGAAGCUUGAGCAGUUCUCCCUAUACAAGACAUCUCUGCUGCUGGGCUGACUGGAAGUGUGUUCAGCACACAAGAUGAAGUGUUAGCAUUAUGCUAAUCAGUACGGUAUUACAUGCUAUGUGACAUUCAGUGUUGCAGAUUGUGCCAGUCCUGCACUUAAGAAAAAUAGAACGGAUAAAUAAAUCUUCCCAGUUAGUUUUGAUAGAGCAUGAUUUGUUUUGCUUUAACAGUUUAGUCCCUGAUAGUCACUUGACCUUGAAAGCAUUAAUCAUGGCAACUGUAUGAUGGAAAAGAAUCCUUGUAAGAAAAAGAAGCAUGUUAGCAGACUCUGGAUGGUCUGAGAAUCUCAAAAAAUCCAUAGUAAUAUAAUACAGAGAAAAGGAAAAUUAACUAGGGAAAAUAUAAUAGAUAUUACAUGGCUUGCACUGAAAUCUUAGGAGGAAGGAUCUAACUUUUCUUCUUGAAUACCAUUUAUGUCCAUGAAUAGGGUGGAAGGGACCACCCUUCUCAACAGCCUUAUUCCUCUGCAAUAAAUCAACCAGAGACAAGCACUUUUUAUAUUCUAGCAGCUAGAGACUCACCCUGUGCUAGCGGCUACAAAGCAAUGUUCUACAACAGCAUAAAGUCUAUAUGAAAAAAUAAUUAAAAUAUAUAGAUUGUAAUGUGCUGCUAAGAGACAAGAGAAAUGAAAGGCAUUCCCAGCAUCCUACUAGGAAUUUUUUUUAAAUGGAAGGAGGAUGCCAUGAUAGGGGAUUCGUAGAAUAAAAUAGAAAGGGAACAAAAAUCAUUUGUCAUUCUAAGCUGGGGAAAAAUUAUUUCACACUCACAAAGACAAAUAAAUAAAAGGCACCAAACACCUACGGAAACAUCAGCUUGACAGAAAAUGUUAGGAAAUUUCCUUUAAAAUAAUUUUGAUAUAAAAUAAACAUUAAAUGCUUGCAUUUCUGAAAAUGGGUAAAUGUGGUUCUAUGUACAAUCUGACAUGACGUCAUAACCUAGUUAAAGUUCAGGACUUUAAUUCUUGUCUCCUACUUAAUACACUGCUUUUUAUUGUAGGAAGCUAUUCUUUGAGCUUGUUGAAUGUAGUUUUAUAGCUGAAGCCUAAACUGUUCUGCAGUUGAAACCUUGUAUUAUAUACCUUUUGACAAUGAAUAUUUUCCCACUGUAAAAAAGGAAAAAAGAAUAAUGCGUUUAUUUUUCAAUUUCAUGCAUGCAUAUCCAAAGGGUGCUCCAAAAGUAGCACCUCUCAUUUUCCUAUAUUGGCCCACAACGUCAGAGUUGGAUGUUGGUGGUAUGGCAGUUCAGGUUGAACCUUCCCACCAGUAGUCCAUGACAUUUUUUUGCCAUGUGACAGAUGGCAGCAGAGGGGCAGUCUGACACAAUGGUAUCUGACAUGGAAGUGCAAAUAAAGCAAAGGGGUGCAACUGAAUUCCUCUCUGUGAAAAGAAAUGGCUAACUGAAUGUUUCUGGAAACCAAACAGCAGAUGUGAGCACAGUGAGGCAGUAUUUGCUGCAUUUCAGAAGUGGUGAAAGGAAUGUGAAAGACAAGCCAUGUUCUGGACAGCCAUGCACAGCUGUCACACCACAAAAUGAAGAGCAUCACAAUCAGCUCAUCUGCACAAAUCAGUGGAUUAUGACCAGGGAACUGUGUACAGAGCUGAAUAUCAGCUUCAGUGCAUUGGGAACAGUGGUGAAAAUGUUGAAGCACCACAAAGUUUGCAGCAUCUAUUUUACUUUCUUUCUAUUCCUGUUGGAUAUUUUAAUUUUCACUGAGUACAGGUGAUGUAAAGAUAAAUGGAAAGUUAACAAUUAAGCAGCAGAAAUUAAUUUUCCAUCCUACCUGUACCUAGGUAAAAUAAAGUUCAUAUUCGUACACUGUUUAGAUCAUCUUUGUUUCACAGGAAGAACAAUUACCAUAGUUUUUCCUUUGAGUGGUAAGGUAAAAAUUAAAUUUCUUAUUUAAAAUGGAUGCAUGUAAAAGAAGAGUGGUAGACAAGAAAAUGGAAUGCAAGAUUUAAAAAUCAAGUUUCAUACACAGUCUGGUUUUGGGUGUAGAAACUGUGCAAUUACACGUGGAAACAUGUUCUUGAGUUUUUGAGGUAAAAUAAGGAUGAAGACAGAAACAAGGGAUGAAAGGUCUUAUAUUCUCUUUGCUUCAGAAAAAUAAAUAUGAAACCUUAUGCAUUUAUGCUGCCAAGUACACAAUUGCUCAGAUGAAACUGUAAUAUAUAAACUUUAUAUCUGGGGAAAGUACAUGUUUAAGUAUAACCAAGUCCAGUACAAGUAUGAAGCAACAUAUCUUCUAAGAUUGGACAAUACUUUGAGUGUCCUUAUCUCCUUAAUUCCCUUGGAGAUGCUACACAAUAUUGUUUUCUGUACAGAUUUUUUUUUUCUGGUGACUGUUUUAAGUCAAGUAUGCUGUCAUCAGUGUGCUAUAUUAUCAGCUCAAUUUGUUAUUCUGAUAAUAUGAAACUGACUGUUGUUCAAACAUGACCUCAUUCACCUUGCAUGCUUUUGUUUCCUGUCUAAAUUAAUGUUGAAAUUGUGUCUGAUGCACGUUCUUAGCAAAGAUAAGUCGGAUAUUUUUAGGAGAAAGCUUGUUUAUGCUUUUGUUAUCCUGAAAUAAGUAGUUGUGGCAGUUUGCUGUGUAUUUUUAUAUGGAUUCACUGAAGUCAGUGAUACUAUGUUCUUAAAUAUCCCCUAAAGAAACAGCUGAAAUUUCCAAGCAGAAAGCAAUCUGAAAAUGCUAUGUUUACUGCCCUUUUGGUUUUCCAAGACAGCCCAUUACUAACUGCAUAUCUGCAGUCAUUUUAAGCCUUGCUUCUGUUCAGCAUUGAUUACUGCAGCAUGUCGUCAGCUUUGCUGUAUCAGCAUGAAAAAAAAUCUUUUGAUGUGGAAAGAAAGAAGUGAAAGGCAUUUAGUGUGCGCUUAGCACCAUAUGUGAGUAUAAACUCUUAAAGUUAUACCACGGCAGUAGGUAAAUGCUUAACCUUUACUCCUCGUUUCUUCAUAGAACCAUAUGACAUUUACAGAUGACUGCAAUAAAUGGAAAAAGGAACAGCUUUAAACUUUUUGUGUACAGAUGCUCAUCUAACAAGUUCUUGAUUGUCAGCAUCCAUUUUUUUUUUAGUUGGUAUUAACUGGCUUCAUAGCUGCAAGCUCACGAGCCAAGGGAAAGCAACGCCUCUCUCUCCUGCCUCCUGCAAUAGGAACACACUUAUCCAGUUGUCUUCUUGCACAUGUUAUUUUCAAACAGCCCUUACAAAUAAUGAAAA